AUCCACUGGGAGUCCUUUUGCGUUUCAGAUGCUCCCAGGCUCUCCCGCAGUUUAAAGACUUAACUCAGCGGCUUUCAGGGCCUGUGGUUGAGGGACUCCGAAAGAACUGUUGCUGGUGGACCGGUUCAGGGUCUUGACUUCGCCACACAAAAGAACUUGAGAGCACGUCCAAAGUAAAGCUAAGACCUCUAGUACAGUGUUCAAUGGAACUGGUGAGAAAAGACGUCCUUGCUGUGUUCCUGAUAUGAAGAGGAAAGCAGUCCUUCUCCAUUAAAUGCUGACAACAUGAGCCUCCCGUGGUCGGAACGGGCUUGUGAAGGCGGUGCUGGGGUGCACCAGGGCAGCAGCUACAGCAAGCUACAGAUGACAGAGCCGAGGUCGUCUCCUCCAGGUCCCAGAGCUGCUAUGUGGCUGAGCUGCAGUUCAGAGCCAGGGUGACUCAGCUUGCAAGCCUGUGCUCCUCACCUCCGUGGCAUGCUUCUCCCAGGCUGGCACUGAAUCACCGGAAGGACUCCUUAAGACAUGGAUAGGGGAUCCACCCCAGAGGUCCUGAAUCAGCAAGUCUGGGGAGGAGACUGAGAAUUGACUUUUCUAUCAAGUUCCCCAGUGAUGCUGAUGCUGCUGGUGUGCGUACCACGUUCUGGAACCUCCGCUCCCUGCUCUAGGGCCUUCUGGGUGGAGCCCUAGAGCUGAGCUCCCAGCUGUGGGCAUGGCAGGCACUGAAGAGUGUUGCUUUAGGGUAAUGUGUUAACAGUCUAAGAAGGUGCGUGGUGAGUAGGCUGACCAUUUCUCUCUCUUAUUGAACAAAAUAUUGCUAAGCCCUGGAUUUUCUCAGCUGUAAAUCACUGAAAUCUGAAUAAAAUUACCCCUACAA
rnacentral:lncRNA from 1 species